rnacentral:rRNA from 1 species
GACGAACGCUGGCGGCGUGCUUAACACAUGCAAGUCGAACGGUGAAGCGCCUUCCUCUUUGGUGGGUGUGGGUGAGUGGCGAACGGGUGAGUAACACGUGAGUAACCUGCCGCCUUCUACUGGAUAACCGCAUGAAAGUGUGGCUAAUACGGGAUAUUCUGGGUCUGUCGCAUGAUGGGUCUGGGAAAGAUCUUGUUUCGGGGGGGGAUGGGCUCGAGGCCUUUCAGUUUGUUGGUGGGGUGGUGGGCUAUGAAGGCGGUGACGGGUAGCCGGCCUGAGAGGAUGGACCGCCACACGGCUGAUGAGACGCGGCGCAGACUCCGGCGGGAGGCAGCAGGGAAGAAUAUUGCACGGUGGGCGCAAGCCUGAUGCAGCGACGCCGCGUGAGGGAUGGAGGCCUGCUGGUUGUGAACCUCUUUCGCCAGUGAAGCAGGCCUGCCUCGUUUGUGGGUGGGUUGACGGUAGCUUGAUAAGAAGCGCCGGCUAACUACGUG